rnacentral:snoRNA from 15 species
AAUCCAAAUAUUUUGCCUGCCAGCACUCCAUAAUUUAGUUUACGAGUGGUGGUAUACUGUAAUACUUGGUAUACAAAGAGUCGACUCCACCCUGGAUUAACUUUUCCUUAUGUAUAUUCAGGACUAAAUCAACGACUGACAAAC